rnacentral:rRNA from 1 species
AGAUUGAACGCUGGCGGCAUGCCUAACACAUGCAAGUCGAGCGGCAGCGCGGGGGCGACCCUGGCGGCGAGCGGCGGACGGGUGAGUAAGGCAUCGGAAUCUGCCCUGAUGUGGGGGAGUAACGUAGGGAAACUUACGCUAAUACCGCAUACGACCGAGAGGUGAAAGCGGGGGACCGAAAGGCCUCGCGCAGCAGGAUGAGCCGAUGUCCGAUUAGCUGGUUGGUGGGGUAACGGCCCACCAAGGCGACGAUCGGUAGCUGGUCUGAGGGGAGUGAUCAGCCACCACUGGGACGUGAGACACGGCCCGACGACUCCUACCGGGCGGGCGAGC